AUGCCUACGGGACGCAGCAGUGAGGAAUAUUGGUCAAUGGGCUUACGCCUGAACCAGCCAAGCCGCGUGAGGGAGGAAGGUACAGAGUAUCGUAAACCUCUUUUGUCAGGGAACAAAGACUGGGACGCGUCCCCGGAUGAGUGUACCUGAAGAAAAAGCAUCGGCUAACUCCGUGCCAGCAGCCGCGGUAAUACGGAGGAUGCGAGCGUUAUCCGGAUUUAUUGGGUUUAAAGGGUGCGCAGGCGGUCUGUUAAGUCAGCGGUCAAAGCCCGGGGCUCAACCCCGGCCCGCCGUUGAAACUGGCA
rnacentral:rRNA from 1 species